GUAAGGAUUAAUUCUUAAUUAAAACCUAGUACGAGAGGAUCGGGGCUAGUGAACCAAUAGUGUACCUGGUUACAGGGAAGCCACGUUCACGAAGGAUAACUACUGAAAGCAUAUAAAGUAGGAAACCAAUAAGAAAAAAUUCUUAAAAGAGUCGGACAAGACUAGUCCGUUAUUAGGCCAACUAAUAGAAUUAAUGUAAAUUAAAGUGAAGUGGUACUAAGGAACUCGA
rnacentral:ncRNA from 1 species